UACAGAGGGGGCAAGCGUUGUUCGGAAUUACUGGGCGUAAAGGGCGCGUAGGCGGCCUGCUAAGUCGAACGUGAAAUCCCCGAGCUCAACUCGGGAACUGCGUCCGAUACUGGCAGGCUUGAAUCCGGGAGAGGGAUGCGGAAUUCCAGGUGUAGCGGUGAAAUGCGUAGAUAUCUGGAGGAACACCGGUGGCGAAGGCGGCAUCCUGGACCGGUACUGACGCUGAGGCGCGAAAGCGUGGGGAGCAAACAGG
rnacentral:rRNA from 1 species